GACGACGCUGGCGGCGUGGAUUAGGCAUGCAAGUCGGACGUAGGGCUUUAUCGUAAGAUAGAGUUUGAGAGUGGCGAACGGGUGAGUAACACGUAGGAAUCUACCCUUAAGACGGGACAACCAGGAAACUUGGGCUAAUACCGGAUGAGAGUGCGAGAGAUUGCAUUUAAAAGGAUGGCGAAAGUUGUCGCUUAGGGAUGAGCCUGCGAUCUAUUAGUUAGUUGGUGAGGUAAGAGCUCACCAAGGCGAUGAUAGAUAGGCGGCCUUAACGGGUGGUCGCCCACACUGGGAUUGAGAUACGGCCCAGACUCCUACGGGAGGCAGCAGUCGAGAAUAGUCUACAAUGGCCGGAAGGCUGAUAGUGCGACGCCGCGUGAACGAGGGAGCCCUUCGGGGUGUAAAGUUCUUUUCUAUACGAGCAGUGCUAUAUAUAUGGAUAGUAUAUAUAGAGGGAUAGUAGUAUAGGAAUAAGCAACGGCUAACUCCGUG
rnacentral:rRNA from 1 species